CGCAGAUCGACAGCGCGGCCGUGUUUGAGCGCAGUAGUUUAGGUGUGAUGCGCAGUUAACGUACAAGCAGAUAAUCAUACAGUCAGAGAGAUAGUCAGAGAGGCAAAAAGAAAACAGACAGAAGAACACAGAAAUAGAGAGAUAAUAAGAGGUGUAGAUAGACGGACUAAAGUAUAGAAAUAUACACACACAGAAUGUCUGAAAGAUAUUGUCAACAGAUUUAGUUCAGCCUAUUGCAGUCCACUACAGGACAUAGGCCUUCCCAAGUUCACGCC
rnacentral:misc_RNA from 1 species